rnacentral:rRNA from 1 species
UACAGAGGUCUCAAGCGUUGUUCGGAUUCAUUGGGCGUAAAGAGCUCGUAGGCGGUUUGUUGCGUCGGCUGUGAAAUCCCGAGGCUCAACCUCGGGUCUGCAGUCGAUACGAGCAAACUAGAGUGUUGCAGGGGAGACUGGAAUUCCUGGUGUAGCGGUGAAAUGCGCAGAUAUCAGGAGGAACACCAGUGGCGAAGGCGGUGCUCUGGGCCGGAACUGACGCUGAGGAGCGAAAGCGUGGGUAGCGAACAGG